GUUGGUGAACCAGCGGAGGGAUCAUUACCGAGUUCUUCAACUCCCAAACCCCCUGUGAACAUACCCGAACGUUGCUUCGGCGGACCGCCCCGGCGCCCCCCCCGUGACCCCCCUCCGCGGGGGUUUCGCGGGCGGCGGCAGCCCGGAGCCAGGCGCCCGCCGGGGGACCCAAACUCUUGUCUUCGCCCACGGUGGUAUUUUUCCUUCUGAGUGAACAAGCAAAACGAAUCAAAACUUUCAACAACGGAUCUCUUGGUUCUG
rnacentral:misc_RNA from 1 species